AAACUUUUCAAAAGAACUUCGCAACUUAAGGCUUGGUUUGGCAAGUGAUGGUUUUAAUCCUUUUCGAACUAUGAACGUGUCACAUAGCACAUGGCCAGUUGUCUUAAUGGUGUACAAUUUCUCCCCUUGGAUGUCCAUGAAGUCAGAAUACUGCAUGCUCUCUUUACUCAUACCUGGAACUUGUUCACCAGAAAAUAAUAUUGAUAUUUUUUUGCAACCAUUGAUCGAAGAGCUGAGCGAGCUAUGGGUGUUAGGGGUAGAUACAUAUGAUUCUUUUAAGGGAGAAACUUUUCAAAUGCAUGCUGCACUUCUUUGGACAAUCAAUGAUUUUUCUGCGUAUGCGAUGUUGUCCGGUUGGAGUACGAAAGGGAAGCUAGCUUGCCCUUGUUGUAACCAUGAUACUUCUUUUUGUUACUUGAAACAUAGCCAAAAGACAGUUUACAUGGACCAUAGGAGAUUUUUGCCAGUUGAUCAUGCAUGGAGGUCUAACAAGAGAUCUUUUAAUGGAAAAAUAGAAUUCAGGGGUCCACCACGAAUGUUAACAGGUGAAGAGGUUCUAGAUAUGCUAAAGUCAGUAGAUAAUGCCCUUGGGAAGACGCAAAGCAAAAGUAAUGGCCAAUGGAAAAAAAGAUCGAUAUUUUUUGAGUUACCAUAUUGGCAGCAUUGUAUGCUCAGGCACAAUCUUGAUGUAAUGCAUAUUGAAAAAAAUAUAGUCGACAGUAUAAUUGGUACCUUAUUGGAUAUUCCUGGAAAGACAAAGGAUCAUGCAAAGGCUCGUUAUGAUCUUAAGGAGAUGGGCAUUCGAAAGAAUCUUCACCCAAUAAAUACGAAGGAUGGCAAAAGAACUAAACUUGCUAAAGCAUGCUUCUCCAUGACCAAAGGCGAGAAAUCCAUUUUUUGCGGUGUUUUGAAGAAAACAAAAUUGCCUAAUGGAAGUGCUUCAAACAUUUCUCGUUGUGUACAACAAGAAGAGAGAAAGCUUUACGGUUACAAGACUCAUGAUGCUCACUUCAUGUUGCAUUACCUGUUGCAAAUACCAAUCAAGAGCAUUCUUCCAGAUCAUGUUGCUAUUCCUCUAGUUCGCUUGUGUUCCUUUUUUCGUCGGCUAUGUCAAAAGAAAAUCUCUUUAGAAGAGAUUAAUGGUUUGGAGUCAGAGAUUGUAGAGACUUUGUGCCAAUUGGAGAGGAUUUUCCCCCUACCUUUUUUGAUAUAAUGGUUCAUUUGCCUAUUCAUUUAGCUAAUGAAUUAAGGUUAGGUGGUCCCGUCCAAUUUCGAUGGAUGUAUCCGAUUGAGAGAUACAUGUGCACACUAAAAGGGUAUGUACGUAACAGAAGUCGUCCAGAAGGAUCAAUUACGGAGGGUUAUUAACUUUUUGUUCAAGAUAUUUGCAUGAGGGAGUGAAAACAAGAUUCAAUAGAGUAUCUCGGAAUAAUGACGAAGGCACUUCAACCAAAGAGCCUGAUUCAAACUUGUUCAUAAACAAGGGAAGUCCAUUGGGUGGAAAAAAAGGGCAACUAAUUAUUUUGGACGAGAAGUCACUCCUUCAAGCUAAUGCAUAUGUAUUGAACAAUUGCAUUAACGUGGAGCCUUACAUGAGAGAACAUGGUGACCAACAAAAGCAAGACAAGCGGAAGCGAAAGUGGAACGUUGUUAAAGAUCAGAAUGAAGACUUUAUAGACUGGUUUACAAGACGUGCCAUGAAGGAUGAUGUUCCCAGUUGGAUACGGCAGUUGUCUAAGGGUCCAAAUAAAGUUGCAAAAUCAUUUUCUGCUUAUGUCGUCAAUGGGUACAGAUUUUAUACUAAGCGGCGAGAAGUGAUGCGAAAAACGCAAAACAGUGAUGUCACUGUGGUAGCUGAAACUACAAGCUUUGCAAGUGUCAAGGACAAAAAACCAAUCAAGGCCAAUAUAAGAUAUUAUGGUAGAAUCAUGGAUAUUAUCGAGUUAGACUAUUAUAGCCAAUUUAAAGUUGUGUUAUUUAAGUGUGAGUGGUUUAUGGCUGAGGAAGAUGAUUAUGGUCUGACAUACGUUCAUUUCAACAAAAGAUGUUACCAAGCCGAACCAUUUGUGUUGGCAAGCCAAGCACACCAGUGCUUUUAUGUGAAAGAUCCAUAUAUUCUCCAGAAGCAUUAUGUGAUGAAAACGGUUUCAAGAGACUUGUUUAACAUUGGUGUCCAAUUACAGUUUGACCCAAAUAUAAGAGAGCCAUAUGAAUCGGCGAAUAGUCCGAUACCCUUGAGUGAUAUUGGCGAGGUAGACUUGGUUAGACAGGGUGUGUGACCCACUAUUGUUGAUGUGACACCGAACAAGAUCAAACCUAACCACAAAAAAAUAGAGUAUGAUGAUUUUGACAGUGAAGCUGAAAUAGAGGUUGUACAAAAAUUGUCCAUGAUGCUUUAUUUGUUCAUGAUGCUUUAUAUAUGGCUGGCAUAUGAUUUAUUUGUACAAAAAUUGAUGACAGUAGUGGGCCAUAGCCCUCUUAAAAUAUGUGGCUGCCAUAUGAUUUAUUUGUCCAUCAAGCUUUAUUUGUUCAUGCUUUAUUUGUUCAUGAAAUCUCAAUGUUUGUUUACUUUAUUAUGUGGCUGCCAUAUGAUUAUGCAUAUGCCCAUUUCUUUAUUAGUUUUGAUGCUUUAUUUUUUUCUCUUCAUGCAAUUGAAUUAUGUUGAUGCUUUAUUUGUUCAUGAUGCUUUAUAUGUGGCUGCUAUAUGAUUUAUUUUUACAAAAAUUGAUGACAGUAAUGGGCCAUAGCCCUCUUAAAAUAUGUGGCUACCAUAUGACUUAUGCAUAUGCCCAUUUCUUUAUUAGUUUCAAUGCUUUAUUUGACUUUCUUUU